rnacentral:rRNA from 1 species
GUGACUAUAUGUUUAACGGCCGCGGUAUUUUGACCGUGCGAAGGUAGCGCAAUCACUUGUCUUUUAAAUGGAGACCUGUAUGAAUGGCACGACGAGGGCUUAACUGUCUCCUUCCCCAAGUCAAUGAAAUUGAUCUCUCCGUGCAGAAGCGGGGAUAGACCCAUAAGACGAGAAGACCCUAUGGAGCUUUAGACACUAAAACAGCCCAUGUUAAAAACCCUCACAAAAGAGGCUAAACUAGAUGGUCCCUGUCCUAAUGUCUUUGGUUGGGGCGACCACGGGGUAACAAAAAACCCCCGCGCGGAACAGAAACACUGUUUCCAGAACCAAGAGCACCCGCUCUAAGUAACAAGACCCACUUGACCUUUGAGAUCCGGCAUUAGCCGAUCAACGGACCGAGUUACCCUAGGGAUAACAGCGCAAUCUUCUUCGAGAGUUCAUAUCGACGAGAAGGUUUACGACCUCGAUGUUGGAUCAGGACAUCCUAAUGGUGCAGCCGCUAUUAAGGGUUCGUUUGUUCAACGAUUAAAGUC